rnacentral:rRNA from 1 species
GUAGGUGGCAAGCGUUGUCCGGAAUUAUUGGGCGUAAAGCGCGCGCAGGUGGUUCUUUAAGUCUGAUGUGAAAGACCCCCGGGCUCAACCGGGGAGGGUCAUUGGAAACUGGGGAACUUGAGUGCAGGAGAGGAAAGUGGAAUUCCACGUGUAGCGGUGAAAUGCGUAGAUAUGUGGAGGAACACCAGUGGCGAAGGCGACUUUCUGGCCUGUAACUGACACUGAGGCGCGAAAGCGUGGGGAGCAAACAGGAUUAGAUACCCUGGUAGUCCACGCCGUAAACGAUGAGUGCUAAGUGUUGGGGGGUUUCCGCCCCUCAGUGCUGCAGCUAACGCAUUAAGCACUCCGCCUGGGGAGUUCGGUCGCAAAGACUG